UGGGAGGCCAAGGUGAGCAAGUCACUUGAGGCUGGUCUCGAACUCCUGGGCUCAAGCAGUCAUCCUGCCUCAGCCUUCCAAAGCUCAGGGAUUACAGACAUGAGCCACAGCACCAGGCCAACAAUAUUUCUUAAAGCUCCUGGAGUGAUUCCAAUAUGCAGCCAAGGUUGAAAACCACCCUUUAAAAGGCUCGGCAUCCAGUGUGGAAGACCAGCACACUCACGUCAGGAGACCUUACCUGGAGCCAGGAUGCCCCUGAUCAUCUCUGAUAACUUUAAAAGGAAGGCCUCAGAAGCAGCCCCAGAAGCAAAAGUUUCUCUCUGACCUUCUCCUGCCCUCUUGUUUCUGGCUUUUCAUUCUCCCCCAAGGCUACCCAUAGAAACUAGAAUCCCUCUUCCCCAAGGCAGGUCAUCAGAAACCAGAACCGGUUUUACCCAAAGCCAGCCAUAAAACCUAAAAAUAGUCCUCUCACUCCCCAUUCCCCUUUCUGUGUAAAAACUGGUUGGAAAGAAAUGAUCUGACCUACCGUGUUUGACUGUCGUAAGAUACCCAUUCCAGAGAGGGUCCCACCCCGUGCCCAGAAGGAAGGAAUCCUGCACAGAGAGGCCAAGAAGAAUCUAGACAGCCUUGCUGGGUUUCCCCUCUCAGUCUAUUACUAUUAGAUCAUACCCUUCUUGUCCAAUCAUAUUUCUACACAGUCCAUAAUCUGUUGAACCUAAACAUAAAAAUGGACAAUUCCCCUGUAUCUUGGGGUCUUCAUUCUGAGGGCUCACAUACAAUUAUGAUCAAAUAAAUUUGUUUGCUUUUUCUCCUGUU
rnacentral:lncRNA from 10 species